ensembl:lncRNA
UGCAGAUGGGAACCGCUCCCUGUCCCGUUCCCUGUCUGGGGCUGUUCUCCAUGAUGCCAGAGGCAGAGAAAGAACUGGAAAGGGAUCUUAGUUUUCAUCUUCACAGCACCGUUCUGUAGAGCGGCUCUCCACAUCCUCUCUUGAACCUUUUUUAGUACCUUUAGCAGGUGUGGAGUGUCCUAACUGUUCCCGGGAACGAAAUAUCCGAGAGGAAUAUAACAAAAUUAUCAUUCAGGCUAGGAGAGACAAAGAUUCUCUGAGUCAAAAAGUAGCAGAACUAGAGAAUGAGUUAAGGACAAGAGCAACACAGAAGAGAGAAGAGGGGUCAAGCUGGGAAAAGAAAAGAGGAAAUGAAGAAUCUACAAGCAGUACAUCUGUAGAGACAGGAAUAUUAAAGACUGCAGAGAUACCAAAGCAUGUGCUGGAUAAUGUCACACUUGUCCUGCAGGUGUGUUUGCAAACAGAAGCAGAGGGUCUGAGAUCAGAGCUGAAUGCCUGUUGUGAGAGAGAGAAGAUGCUGACACAAACACUGCAUUCUGAGAGAGAGAGAGAGACUGACUCAGGACGCCCAGACACUGCUCACACAGCUCAACAGCACCAGAGAGAGAAACAACCAGCUUGUGUCAACCCUUAA